CAAUCCGAUUUUUCCAGUGUUUUUAUUUUUGUAGCCGUGGGUAAUAUAAUUCCUUCUUUCUUGUCGAUCUGAUUCUCUUCUUCAUCUUCAUCGGCGAUAUCUCGAUCUCAAUCUCAAGAGAUCGAGAAGAAAAACAUUGAUCUCUCGAUCUCUCAAUCUCCAAUCUUUUCUUAUCAUUCUCUUCUUCACCAUCGAUCUCUCAAUCUCCAAUCUCUUCUUCCUCAUCAACCUUCCACAUCGAUCACAAGAGAAAAAGUUAUCUUCAAAGUUUAAAUCUCAAGAGAGAGGCGAAGUUCUCUUCAGAUGAAAUUGGAGUUUUUAGUUUUGCUUCGCACUUUCUCUCCUUAAGGUAUUUCGAAUUGAACGAUUGUUUAUGAUUUUCAAUUGAUUUCCAGCUUCAUUCUUCUCUCAAUUGUUUAUGAUUGUUUAUGACUUAGGGUUCUAAAUCAAAGGUUUUAUCAAUCUCUAUUGUUUAUGUAAAUUUUUGUUGAUCGAAUUUCACUGAUUGCAGUUUAUUGACUUAUAAAUGUGAUUGAGAUUGUUAGGUUUAAUGGUCAUUAUACAUUUAUAGAGCAAUAAACUCAAUUCAUACUUUAUAGGUACCUUAAUAAUUGUAGGAACUUUAGCAAUAAACUCAAUCCAUACUUUAUAGGUACCUUGAUAAUUGUAGGAACUUUAGCAAUAAACUCAAUCCAUACUUAAUAUAGAGCUCUUGUUACUGGAAAUUCCAUUGUUUUGCACGGAGUUGUUCAUCAUUAUAUGAUAAUAAUAAUUUCACGACUUUGGUUUUAUUGCUAAAAUUCCUACAAUUACGAAUCAUACAUUAUGUAAGGUUGAAAUACACAAUAACACAAUUGGUGCUCGAUACAAAUACUAAAUCCGCUUGUUGUAAAGAGCUAAUAUCUAGGUACAAUAGUUUGCUUCUUACUCUUCUUUCUCUCACUUGUACUUCUUAUUUUGACAAUGUUGAGUCCCUUUAUCAUUUGUUGUUUCUUCACACUUCAUAAUUCUAAUCUGAUAACACUAAUUAGUUUUUUUUGUGCGUAAUAUCUAUAUUUAUAUCUAUUCGUUCUAAUGACUAGUGGCUUUGACAAUUAGAACCAUAACAAUUUCGGAAUCAAAUAUUGUACCAAAAUAUUGAGUGAAUUAUAACAUCUAGGGAUUUAAACGGACCAAUAUUCUGUUGUUUUUUCACUCAACAUUUUGAUUAAUCUCCUCAUAUUAAUUGUUUACUUAUUAUUGUCUGUAGUAUUUUGUUGAAUUGCUCAGGAGCAUUGCAUCUCAAGUUGGGGCCAUGACUUCAGGUACGUAACUGCGACAUUCUAUUUAGAUAUUACAUGAUAGUUAGGUGGUGUUUCGAACCGUUUGGGUAUAUGCAUGGUUGUGAUGCUUUAAACCCUAGGCUUGAAGCAUACUCAUCAUCUCAUUAACUCUCGAAGUAACUUAACUGCUUCACAUUUUAGCCUUCGAAAUCGCCAAUAUCUGCAAUGAAGCUUAUUGUUUUUUCCCCAAAGUGUUUUUGCUUAAGCCUCAUCUUUUAUAAUCUUUCUGUAUGGUGCAGGUCUAGUUACAGAAUCUUUUGUCGCUAAGGAACCGUCUUCCAGAUGUGUCAAUAUUAACAUUGACAGCCUACAAUUGUUCCUAAGUGAGUCUUUUGAUCCCUUAACUGCAACAAUUGGUCUUAUACUGUUGUUCAUGGCCAACCUUACUGCUUAAAGAUAGUAGGGGUUGCAUGAAAGCGAUGGGUACAGGUGUCAGCAAAACUUCUCUAAAGGCCAUAACUCCACUGCUGAAGAGGUAUGAAAAAGAGGCACAGGCGAUUGCUGAAUGGAAACAACAAGUAGAUGGGAAGUUUGAUGGCCUUCAAGCUCAAAUAGUGCAACUCAACCGUGCAGUUCAAACAGGAUCAGGUGGGAGACCGCCCAUACCUGUUGGUUCAAGUUCACAAAUGCAAGUGGAAGUUAACACGGUACGCUUUGUAAUUACAUAUGCAACCAUAUACAUGCCAGUAGAUAUCAUCUUUCCUCUUCAAAACUUUGUUUAGGAUUUUGAUUAUUUGUGAAAUAAAUAAAGUUGUUAGUAUUCCUUUGUCUAUCUUACGAUCACACAAAGUUACAGACAUAGACUUUACUACUGCUUGUAUGUUAGUGGCACAUAUGUCAGUGACUUUAUAACUUGCUUUUGUUUCUGUAAAUAGUCAAUUUCAUCCAAUUCUAUAAAUUUGCUGUAAUGUGUCUUGUGUCUUUUAAAAUUAUAACUAUUAUAGGACAUUGCUAACUCGAGAAAUAUUGUUGUAGUGUGUUUAGUUCUUUUAUAACACAUCUUAUUGUAGUGAAUAAACUGUUAUUACAAUCAUUGGACCUUCUAAGUUUUUUCCUGGUUGCUUGUGAACUUCUCUGCCGGUUAUGUGAACCAUCAUUAUACCAUUUACUUUAUAUUUUGCUUGUAGAUUUAUCCAUUGCUUACUCUUUUUCCCCCUUGAAGUAGGCUAAUUUGUUUGAUGGACUAUGAUUGUUUUGUAAACAAACUACCAUAAUAUUGUUUCAGGAGGUUAGUUUGUUUGGUGGUUGUCCUUUCCAAGUCGUCGCAAAGGGAAGGGUGAAAGAUGUUAACCCAAACUCCAAGUGGGGUGCAAGAUGCCUAGGAGAAGGAAAUUUCUUAGUUUACAUUGAGUGUACGUUUAUAACACAUGCUUUGUUGUCAUGCCCUCAUGAUGAAUGGUGUACGACUUUGGGACAGAUUGGGCAGGGAUUUGUAAUUUGGCCGAAGAUGUGCCUCGAGUUUCAUCACUAGCAAGGUUAGUUGUUAAUUCUUUUAUGAUAAAAUUGUUUAAUCAAUGUUGGUAAGCAAGUCUGACAAGGGUAUUUUCAAAUAUAAUUUUCAUUCUUCUUUCAAACAAAACCAGUUUCGUUGGAUUUAAUAGGUUUUUGCCUUAAAAAAUUUCAAAUAUCUGUCUUAAAUUUUUUAAUAUUUGUAACUGAAGUUUGAUAAGUUCUUGCCUUAUAUUUUCUCGAGAUUUGCAUAAGUACUUAAGAUAUGAGGUAGAUAGGAGCUGAGGACAACACUUUGCUCCCAACUGGUAUAGAGCGAAGGUUUUUCGUGUUUUACUAUACAAUACUAUCACUAUUCCUUGUAAUUUAGGUUUGACAAGGUUUUCCUUGGUUUGUGGGUCACAUACACGUUGCAUAAUGUGUGUUUAUAGAGGAAAAAGUAGGCCAUCUUCUACAUAAGCUGUUUUGAAUAAAGAGUCGUUGUUUGGUAGUUAGGCGUGCUGCUAAUUCUAUGGUCCAUAUGUGUUGUCAAUCUAGGAAACUGGGCUAUAUAAUUUGUACUUCCUUUAAAAAAACUCCACAUGUAAGUAUGCGUGAUAGUUUUGAUGGUUCCAAACCAUGUCUAUUUGAUUUCACAAAGUACUUUUAUUUGUUCUUAAUAUUGAGAGGGCGAUCAAAACAAAGUUGGAGGGUGAAAUUCAGAGUUUCAUUCUCUGCAGUUCUCCUCUUGUUUACACUUCACCUAGCUAAUAAUAUUAUCACAUCCCCCUAUUUGAUAAGUUACCUAAUAAUUUGGAUGAAGAUAUUUGUGGCUGCUUCUUGUCCUGGUCUCGUCACUUUAUUUCUCAUGCAAAACAUAUAUGUAGUUGCUUGACUUUCAUUAAUCAUUAUUAGUAAGAAUUAAUUCUUUUGAGUUUUGCACUCUAUUCUUACUCUGUUGUAUAAUGGCAGUACAGAACCUUCCAUUCAUUGAGAACAUGGAGAAAAGGAUUCAGAGUGCAAGCUCAAUGUUUUUACCUACUGUUUAAUACAGAACUGGGAGACGUUGGUGGUUGACGCGUGGUAGGGGUGACUGCUCUCUGUUCACUAGAAACAUGCCAAUAUUGCUGCAGACCAAAAGAAAGGAGGCAGGACAUAAUUGUUCACUAAAAACAGGCCAAUAUUGUUGCAAACCAAAGGAAGGGAUUUGUAGGAUAGCUUUUGAUGGUUGCGAACUGUCACAAGAACGUAAUUGUUUUGAACUCCAUUUUAUUUCAUUGGUGUAAUUGUUUAAAGUUGAUGAUAUACAUGUUGUUGUUGUAACCAUUUAUUUUGGAAUUUUGUCUUAAAUGUUUGAGAAGAUAAAGUAAAAUGUUUUCUCUUUUGGAAUUGCAUCAGGCACUGGCAGUACUGAAAUAUUGAAAAU
rnacentral:lncRNA from 1 species